rnacentral:lncRNA from 1 species
CUUUUUUAAAUCCGAAAAGAGAUUUGUUUUAAGUUUCGAAAGCGUUUUAUUAUUAAAGUGACGAAAAAUGAAAAUUUGUUUCGAAAAGGAUUCAUUAUAUUGAAACUCAGAGUCACCACUUGGCAUAAAUCUGGUGUGCCAAGUCACCCGUGAAUAUCCUUUUUCAAAAUGAUUUUGACUCUAAACUGAUCCGCGAACAGAGAUUUCGUUUAAGGAAUUUUGUUGAUCGAGGGGAAGGUAUUAGGCACCCCUCGAUCCCGUGGUUUGACCAUGGUCGCUUGGGGAAGCAUAUCGGCUAAUUUUGACAUUAAGGAUGUAUAAACCACAUAACAAACAAUGACCAAGCAAACAAACACAAACAAAAAUAUAUCCCAAAAAUAUGAUGUUCAGUUAAAUUAUACAGUCCAAAGUAAAAAUGUAAAAAUAUAAAACCUACGCUAAUCUACACUAUUUCUACAUUACGCUGCAAAGCUUUACUCCACCCGAUGUUCCGGGCCUUGACCAUGAGCCGUCUUCAAGUACAUGAUACUUCUCGGGGCAUUCCCCGAAUAAAUCAAUACAGGUACCUCGGGGGAUUCCCCCGCCAAAUAGUACAAUAGAUCCAAGUGCCACAAAAUCAAAACCAUCCAACAAAAAUAUUUCAAACACUCCAUCAACCCAAAAAUUCUAAACUUGCUUACCCGAGCCUACUAUUUGCCUACCCGAGCUCAAUCUAUGAUGGCAUUAUCACAUUCACCGACAUCAAUGAAUAAAAAAUAACUAACGUUUGCUUUUUUAAUCAAUUUUCAAUCCUCACCCCCAAAUGACAUAUUUCAGUAAUGGAACAUUCAAUUAUUCAUAUCUAAUUUUAUUCAAUUAUCAAUUGAACUUUUAAAAAAUCGAAACAACACCAAAUACAUACGCACAAUAAAUAUUAGAACAUGUUAACUACACGAAACAUUCCUACCCAUGAAAGCAAUUAAAUUCAAGAUAACAACAAUUAAAAUUCAAAACAAGAAUAUAGGAUGAGAUAUAGAAAUGGACCUCAAUUAUAUUUCAAUCGCAAGUUGUUCGAUGCCACCAACGGGCCGAAACCUCGACCUUUAACCUGAUAAUCCUCGAACUGAACUAGUUAAUAGAUGAAUCCGGUGACUCAAAUUGAGAAUCGCAAAACAAAGCGACCCCUAUCUCGAUUCCACCUCUCUCUCCCCAACUUUCUCGAUCUUUCUCUGUAUUUUCCUUUCUCGGCAGCUCGCUCUCUAUUUCUCUUCUCUCUCUCACGAUCUGCCUCUCAAUCUUUCUGUGUGUAUGUGUGAUUUCAGUGGUGGGUACGUAUGAAUGCAACCAUGGUCAUCUGUGUGUGCAUAUUUUUCUCUCUCUAAAUUAGAAAAAACAAAAAUGGAGCUUUUCCCUAAUGUAUGGAAUCCGUGGAAAACAAGAAAAGGAGAAGCUCUCUUCCUCUCUAUCUCGAUCUCCCCCCCCCCCCCCCCCACGUAUGGUGUUAAUCCGUGAUUUUAUUUGGUGAGGAUGAGAGGUGUGUUCUUUCCUGUGAAGCUGUGCGUGAAGGUCCGUCAAAGAAGAAAAAAGAUGGACAAUGUUGUUCUAAUUAUUUUUAUCCCCUCUGUAAGGUGUAUCUAUUUUUAUGUAUAUUUACAGUGUAGAUAUAGUCUAUGGAGUUUCCUGGAAAGUUCCUAUCUUUUGGAGCAAGAAAUGUAAGGGGUAGGCUAGGUGGGAUGGUUAUGUGAGGGGUGAGGUGCUGUUUUUUAAUUGGAGGGGUAAGGGUUAGGUGUCUAUUUUUAAUUGAGUGAGUAGUUGGAAUCUUUAAUCCAAGACAAAAUUUGUUAGGGUUUGUUAUUUCGAUAAAAACAAAACAAAAGAAAUAAAUAAAUAAUAAAAGAUGAGGUGUUUAUUCAUUUUUU